UUAGUUUGAUCCUGGCUCAGAAUGAACGCUGGCGGCAGGCCUAACACAUGCAAGUCAAACGGCUUCUUCGGAAGCAGUGGCGCACGGGUGCGUAACACGUGGGAAUAUACCCUUAGGUAUGGAAUAACUCAGUGAAAACUGUGCUAAUACCAUAUAACAUCUCCGGAUCAAAGAUUUAUCGCCUAGGGAUUAGCCCGCGUCUGAUUAGUUUGUUGGUGAGGUAAGAGCUCACCAAGACUACGAUCAGUAGCUGGUCUGAGAGGAUGAUCAGCCACACUGGAACUGAGACACGGUCCAGACUCCUACGGGAGGCAGCAGUGAGGAAUAUUGCACAAUGGAGGAAACUCUGAUGCAGCCAUGCCGCGUGAGUGAAGAAGGCCUUAGGGUUGUAAAUCUCUUUCAGUAGUGAAGAUAAUGACGGUAACUACAGAAGAAGCUCCGGCUAACUUCGUGCCAGCAGCCGCGGUAAUACGAAGGGAGCGAGCGUUAUUCGGAAUCACUGGGCUUAAAGCGUGCGUAGGCGGAUAGGAAAGUCAGAAGUGAAAUCCCAGGGCUCAACCCUGGAACUGCUUUUGAAACUUCCAAUCUAGAAUUCGGUAGAGGCUGAUGGAAUAUCAAGUGUAGAGGUGAAAUUCGCAGAUAUUUGAUGGAACACCAGUGGCGAAGGCGAUCAGCUGGGCCGAUAUUGACGCUGAGGUA
rnacentral:rRNA from 1 species